rnacentral:lncRNA from 1 species
GCAAACAGGAGUCACACAAUAACAAAAUUACACUUGGGUUAUUUGGAAAAUAAUAGUUUCUGGGUUUUUUUUAAUCUUAGUAGUCAGCCCUGAAAAACAUCUGGUAAAUUUUUAAAAGAAACAAUGCACUUCCUGCCUUGUAGUUCAUGGAAAAGCAAUUGUUGCCAUUUCCAAAGUACCAUUGUUAGGAGAAACAGCUUUACAAGUUCAGGGACACAAUUAAAGACAAUGAAAGGGAAUUGAUGGGAAUAAAAUGAAGAAACAUCAUAACAAAAAGAGUAAAACAAGGAAGAAAAGAACUCUGACAUAGUGGGGUGUCAGAGCUCCCAACUCAGGGGCACGAUAAAACCUGUCAGCUGAAAAGACAGAGUGGGAAAAAUCAAUUGGAGACCAGCGUGUUGUAACUAAAGGGAAGCAAACCACCAUGUCAUCAGCUGCUCCAAGAGUCCUGCAGAGAGGCCCAGGCUCCACUCACAUGGAGAAGCCAAGAAUAUGAUGGUUCCAAAGAAGCAAAGAGCAGCUCUUAGGAACAAACUCCAUGAGACCCACCCAGGUGAAGAUUCCUCGCAAGGCAAGGGUCAGGAAUGACAGCUGUCAUACAGGGCAACUGUAGGACUUCUCCAGGUAAGAAUUCCAGAAGCACCUUCACUAGAAGGUUCUGGAUGCAGCCAUGGAUAGGGACGCUUCCACCAGAGUAUUGCCAGUAACUGCAUCAGAAGGUAAUCACAUCAUGGUACAGACUGGUUUUCCUUGCUGGGUCUCUUUCAAUCCAUUCAUU